rnacentral:rRNA from 1 species
UACAGAGGGGGCGAGCGUUAAUCGGAAUUACUGGGCGUAAAGCGUGCGUAGACGGUAGCGUAAGUCAGAUGUGAAAGCCCCGGGCUCAACCUGGGAAUUGCAUUUGAGACUGCUCUGCUCGGGUGCGGAAGAGGGAAGCGGAAUUUCCGGUGUAGCGGUGAAAUGCGUAGAUAUCGGAAGGAACACCAGUGGCGAAAGCGGCUUCCUGGUCCGACACCGACGUUCAGGCACGAAAGCGUGGGGAGCAAACAGG